CUCCCUUUGUUCAUAUGUGAAGUCAAGCAGCCCAACUUUUUUUUUGUCAUCUGGGGACAACUGAUGAAUUCUCACAUCAUUGCUGGGAAGGAGCCUAAAGCUCAGUUUCUGUGUUUACUCUUUCAAGGAACAUGUGCCAAGAGCCUGCCAUGAGCCAGGUUCAAGGACUCGAAAGCACUCUGAAUGUUGCUUCUCCAAGGGGGUUGCUGGAGACUUGGAGUCUCUGCCUAGCCCCACCUCUUCAAAACAACUCAGGAUUCUGCCUAAGCACUCCUUUCAAGAUGAGGACACCCUCCCAGGUUGGAGAAGCUGUUUCCAUGACUGUCAGACGGGAAAUCCCUCAGUGGAUGGCAGCAUGUACUCAUUUCCUAUUGAUGAAAAGAAACGAAUGUGACGAAAGAUAUGGCUCUUCUUCCCAGGAAAUCACCUCUCAGCAUGCACGCACGUGUGCGCACACACACACACACACUUUCACAUGUGUGUUAAAAGCCACAGAAUUCCCCAAAGUCUAUCAAGGGAUCCUGCUUUGGGAACUCAUCUUUAUGAAAGUAAUGUAUGUGUAAGAAAAAUCCUAUUCACUUGAUGGAUUAUUAUUUUUUUAAUAAUUUAAAGUUAUUUUUGACACUAUUUCAUACUAAAAGAAAUACUGUGCUGUUUUAAUAGAUACAGUUGUUACAUGUUCG
rnacentral:lncRNA from 1 species